rnacentral:rRNA from 1 species
CCAAGGAGUCUAACAUGUGCGCGAGUCUUCGGGUCGCCCCCAAACGAGUGGCGAAACCCGUGAGGCGAAAUGAAAGUGAAGGCCUGUCCGUCCGGCCACCCGUUUCAUCCGGCUUGUUUUUUACCUUUCGGGGUUCUUGACUUGCCGCGGUGGCGGGACCGGCCGGCGGCGGUCGAGGCGGGAUCCGAUUCCUUUCUGACCGAAAACGAAAGAACACACACCAGAGGAAAAAAGCCGGGUCGGGGAAAACUGCCAUUUCCUCUCCGCACUUGGUCGGUCCUGCUCGUGCGCGCGCCCUGUCGGGGCGCGGGGCCUUAAAAACCCCGCGUUCCCGGUAGCGGCCGUUGCGUUUCGGGUUGCGGCUGCCGUGCAUCCAAGGGGAGGGUGGCGAAACGAUAAAAAAAAACAAACAAAAAAGCAACCUGUUUCGCGACAGGUUUGCCAAAUAUGCUGGAAAAAAAACCCCGCAAACAACCCGGUCGGCGCACCGCCGGCCCGUCUCCACGCCGCGAACGUCGGCGAGGCGGAGCCAGAGCGUACACGUUGGGACCCGAAAGAUGGUGAACUAUGCUCGGGCAGGACGAAGCCAGAGGAAACUCUGGUGGAGGUCCGUAGCGAUUCUGACGUGCAAAUCGAUCGUCGGACCUGAGUAUAGGGGCGAAAGACUAAUCGAACCGUCUA